UACGUAGGGUGCAAGCGUUGUCCGGAAUUAUUGGGCGUAAAGAGCUCGUAGGCGGUCAGUCGCGUCUGCUGUGAAAACUCGGGGCUUAACUCCGGGCCUGCAGUGGGUACGGGCUGACUAGAGUGCGGUAGGGGAGACUGGAAUUCCUGGUGUAGCGGUGAAAUGCGCAGAUAUCAGGAGGAACACCGGUGGCGAAGGCGGGAUCCUGGGCCAGUACUGACGCUGAGGAGCGAAAGCGUGGGGAGCAAACAGG
rnacentral:rRNA from 1 species